CAACAGGGAUUGCCCUAGUAACGGCGAGUGAAGCGGCAACAGCUCAAAUUUGAAAUCUGGCUCCUUUGGGGUCCGAGUUGUAAUUUGCAGAGGGUGCUUUGGCAUCGGCGGCGGUCUAAGUUCCUUGGAACAGGACAUCGCAGAGGGUGAGAAUCCCGUACGUGGGCGCCUGCCUUUGCCGUGUAAAGCCCCUUCGACGAGUCGAGUUGUUUGGGAAUGCAGCUCUAAAUGGGAGGUAAAUUUCUUCUAAAGCUAAAUACCGGCCAGAGACCGAUAGCGCACAAGUAGAGUGAUCGAAAGAUGAAAAGUACUUUGGAAAGAGAGUCAAAUAGCACGUGAAAUUGUUGAAAGGGAAGCGCUUGCAGCCAGACUUGCCCGCAGUUGCUCACCCAGGCUCCGGCCUGGGGCACUCUUCUGCGGGCAGGCCAGCAUCAGUUUGGGCGGUUGGAUAAAGGCCUCUGUCACGUAUCUCCCUUCGGGGUGACCUUAUAGGGGAGGCGCAAUGCAACCAGCCCGGACUGAGGUCCGCGCAUCUGCUAGGAUGCUGGCGUAAUGGCUGUAAGCGGCCCGUCUUGAAACACGGACCAAGGAGUCUAACAUCUAUGCGAGUGUUUGGGUGUCAAGCCCGGGCGCGUAAUGAAAGUGAACGGAGGUGGGAACCCUUUGGGUGCACCAUCGACCGAUCCUGAUGUCUUCGGAUGGAUUUGAGUAAGAGCAUAGCUGUUGGGACCCGAAAGAUGGUGAACUAUGCUUGAAUAGGGUGAAGCCAGAGGAAACUCUGGUGGAGGCUCACAGCGGUUCUGACGUGCAAAUCGAUCGUCAAAUUUGGGCAUAGGGGCGAAAGACUAAUCGAACCAUCUAGUAGCUGGUUCCUGCCGA
rnacentral:rRNA from 1 species